GGGGGUGUAGCUCAGUUGGCAGAGCGCUACGUUCGCAUCGUAGAGGCCAGGAGUUCAAUUCUCCUCAUCUCCA
rnacentral:tRNA from 2 species